UACGAAGGGGGCUAGCGUUGUUCGGAAUUACUGGGCGUAAAGCGUGCGCAGGCGGCUGCUCAAGUCAGGGGUGAAAGCCCAGAGCUCAACUCUGGAAUUGCCUUUGAGACUGAGUGGCUUGAGUACGGGAGAGGUGAGUGGAAUUCCCAGUGUAGAGGUGAAAUUCGUAGAUAUUGGGAAGAACACCGGUGGCGAAGGCGGCUCACUGGCCCGUAACUGACGCUCAUGCACGACAACGUGGGGAUCAAACAGG
rnacentral:rRNA from 1 species